GACGAACGCUGGCGGCGUGCUUAACACAUGCAAGUCGAACGGAAAGGCCCUGCGUUUGUGGGUUGCUCGAGUGGCGAACGGGUGAGUAACACGUGAGUAUCCUGCCCUUGACUUUGGGAUAACUUCACGAAACUGGGGCUAAUACCGGAUAGGAUCUCCUGCUGCAUGGUGUGGGUUGGAAAGUUUCGGCGGUUGGGGAUGGACUCGCGGCUUAUCAGCUUGUUGGUGGGGUAGUGGCUUACCAAGGCUUUGACGGGUAGCCGGCCUGGGAGGGUGACCGGCCACAUUGGGACUGAGGUACGGAGCAGACUGCUACGGGAGGCAGCAGUGGGGAGCAUUGCACAAUGAGCGGACGCGAGAUGCAGAGGCGUCGGGUGCGGGAUGCUGGCCUUCGAGUUGUAAACCGCUUUCGAAUGAGACGUAGAGUGAGUGACGGUAAUUGGUAAGGAAGCCCCGGCUAACUACGUG
rnacentral:rRNA from 1 species